rnacentral:lncRNA from 1 species
CUGAGGGACACCUGAAGUUAGAGGGCAUAAUCUGGGUAGGGGAAGUCCAGAAAAAAGAGACAAGAAGUGAUAGGUAGGAGGAGAUGCAGGGAGAGAGAGUAGGGUUUCAAAUACCAAGCGAGAAGAGAAUGUCAUAGAGGAGACGAUAAUUAAAUGUCAAAGGCUGCAGCAAGGUCAAGGAGGAUGAAGAAGUGAGGAGCUACCUUGGGGGGUAGAUGCUGUUAUGCCCACUUUACAGAUGAGGAGACCAAGAUCAAUAAAAGCUUCCCAGAGGGAUUUUUCCUUGGGCAAUCUGCACACUAAAACGGAAGAAUCUCACUUGGGGGAUGGCUCUGGCGAUCUCCAGGGGCAGUGGUGGUUAUCUGCCUUUCUAAGUGAAUCUUCUGCCCAGGCACUACAGCCUGGAUAAAAAUGACUGCCUACACAGAACCCGGGGGACAACUAAGGCCCCACUCCAGCACAGUAGGGCGUUUUAAAAGUCUACUGACAAGAUCAAGGAUGGAGCCGUUGUUAGCGUAAGAAUUCACUUGACUAGCCUUAUGUUUCCACCUUACAUAUGUGCACUGCCUGUGGACAUUGCUACAUAUUGUUAAAAAUAAACAGAG